UAAUACGAAGGGUGCAAGCGUUACUCGGAAUUACUGGGCGUAAAGCGUGCGUAGGUGGUUUGUUAAGUCUGAUGUGAAAGCCCUGGGCUCAACCUGGGAAUGGCAUUGGAUACUGGCGAGCUAGAGUGCGGUAGAGGGGUGUGGAAUUCCCGGUGUAGCAGUGAAAUGCGUAGAGAUCGGGAGGAACAUCUGUGGCGAAGGCGACACCCUGGACCAGCACUGACACUGAGGCACGAAAGCGUGGGGAGCAAACAGGAUUAGAUACCCUGGUAGUCCACGCCCUAAACGAUGCGAACUGGAUGUUGGGAGCAAUUAGGCUCUCAGUAUCGAAGCUAACGCGUUAAGUUCGCCGCCUGGGGAGUACGGUCGCAAGACUG
rnacentral:rRNA from 1 species